AAAACUUUAAGUUAAAAAAACUAUUAAUGUUCAAAAUUAAAUUUAUAUAUUUAUAUAAGUUUUA
rnacentral:tRNA from 1 species